GCCCAGCUGGCUCAGUCAGAGCAUGUGACUCUCGAUCCCAGGGUCAUGAGUUCAAGCCCCACGCUGGUCG
rnacentral:tRNA from 1 species